rnacentral:misc_RNA from 1 species
UCCGGUUUAACACCGGCAGUCCCCUCAGAGUGCCCAACUUAAUGGUGGCAACUAAGGGCAAGGGUUGCGCUCGUUGCGGGACUUAACCCAACAUCUUACGACACGAGCUGACGACAGCCAUGCAGCACCUAUCUCCCUGCUCCCGAAGGAGAAGCCGCAUCUCUGCGGUUGUCAGGGGAUGUUAAGCCCAGGUAAGGUUCUGCGCGUUGCUUCGAAUUAAACCACAUACUCCACCGCUUGUGCGGGCCCCCGUCAGUUCUUUUGAGUUUCAGCCUUGCGACUGUACUCCCCAGGCAGCGCACUUAAUGCGUUAGCUGCGGCACCGGAGGGGUCGAUACCCCCGACACCUAGUGCGCACCGUUUACGGCGUGGACUAC